CACGGGGGGAGCGAACGUUAUUCGGAAUCACUGGGCUUAAAGGGCGCGUAGGCGGGCGAUCAAGUCAGGGGUGAAAGCCCCCAGCUCAACUGGGGAAGUGCCUCUGAUACUGGUCGUCUCGAGGGGGAUAGGGGCGUGCGGAACUUCCGGUGGAGCGGUGAAAUGCGUAGAUAUCGGAAGGAAUACCAGAGGCGAAGGCGGCUACCUGGACAAUUGCUGACGCUCAGGCACGAAAGCGUGGGGAGCAAAAGGG
rnacentral:rRNA from 1 species